AGGCGCGUAGUAUAACUGGAUAGUACGAAACCUUGCGGAGGUUUUAAUCUGGGUUCAAAUCCCAGCGUGCCUA
rnacentral:tRNA from 1 species